CGAGUCCGGCAAGCUACGGCUUGUCAGUGAUGGCGAUCAUACUUCCCAGAAAAGCCCGGACUAUCGUAAAUUCUAAAUACUUGUACCCGAAACCGACACAGGUGGGGAGGUUGAGAAAACUAAGGGGCGCGAGAUAACUCUCUCUAAGGAACUCGGCAAAAUGACCCCGUAACUUCGGGAGAAGGGGUGCCACCGCAAGGUGGUCGCAGUAAAGAGGCCCAGGCGACUGUUUACCAAAAACACAGGUCUCCGCCAAGUCGCAAGACGCAGUAUGGGGGCUGACGCCUGCCCAGUGCCGGAAGGUUAAGGAAGUUGGUCAGGAGUAAUCUAAAGCUGACGACUGAAGCCCCGGUGAACGGCGGCCGUAACUAUAACGGUCCUAAGGUAGCGAAAUUCCUUGUCGGGUAAGUUCCGACCCGCACGAAAGGCGUAACGAUCUGGGCACUGUCUCGGAGAGAGACUCGGCGAAAUAGGAUUGUCUGUGAAGAUACGGACUACCUGCACCUGGACAAAAGACCCUAUGAAGCUUUACUGUAGCCUGGAAUUGGCUUCGGGCUUCGCUUGCGCAGGAUAGGUGGGAGGCGUUGACAUUCCCCUUGUGGGGGGAAUUGAGCCAACGGUGAGAUACCACUCUAGCGAGGCUAGAAGUCUAACUUUCGCCCAUUAUCUGGGGAAAGAACAGUUUCAGGUGGGCAGUUUGACUGGGGCGGUCGCCUCCUAAAUGGUAACGGAGGCGUACAAAGGUUUCCUCAGGCUGGUUGGAAAUCAGCCAUAGAGUGCAAAAGCAGAAGGAAGCUUGACUGCGAGACCUACAAGUCGAGCAGGGACGAAAGUCGGUUUUAGUGAUCCGACGGCGCCGCGUGGAAGGGCCGUCGCUCAACGGAUAAAAGUUACUCCAGGAUAACAGGCUGAUCUCCCCCAAGAGUCCACAUCGACGGGGAGGUUUGGCACCUCGAUGUCGGCUCAUCGCAACCUGGGGCGGAAGUACGUCCCAAGGGUUGGGCUGUUCGCCCAUUAAAGCGGUACGUGAGCUGGGUUCAGAACGUCGUGAGACAGUUCGGUCCAUAUCCGGUGCAGGCGCAAGAGCAUUGAGAGGAGCCUUCCUUAGUACGAGAGGACCGGGAAGGACGCACCACUGGUGUACCUGUUAUCGUGCCAACGGUAGACGCAGGGUAGCCAAGUGCGGAGUGGAUAACCGCUGAAAGCAUCUAAGUGGGAAGCCCACCUCAAGAUGAUUGCUCUCACAGGGUUAACCUGGUAAGGUCACGGGCAGAACACCCGUUAUUAGGCACUAGGUGGAAGUUCAGCAAUGAAUGUAGCCAAGGUGUACUAACAGACCGAGGGCUU
rnacentral:rRNA from 1 species